UCCGAGUUGACCCCGGCAGUCUCCUAUGAGUCCCCGGCAUUAUCCGCUGGCAACAUAGGACGAGGGUUGCGCUCGUUGCGGGACUUAACCCAACAUCUCACGACACGAGCUGACGACAGCCAUGCAGCACCUGUGCAUGGACUCCGAAGAUGGGCCCUCGUUUCUGAGGGCUUUCCCAUGCAUGUCAAGCCCAGGUAAGGUUCUUCGCGUCGCUUCGAAUUAAGCCACAUGCUCCGCCGCUUGUGCGGGCCCCCGUCAAUUACUUUGAGUUUUAGCCUUGCGGCCGUACUCCCCAGGCGGGGUGCUUAAUGCGUUAGCUUCGGCACGGACGGGGUCGAUAUCCGCCCACACCUAGCACCCAACGUUUACGGCUAGGACUAC
rnacentral:misc_RNA from 1 species